rnacentral:rRNA from 1 species
UAGGGAAUUGUUCGCAAUGGGCGCAAGCCUGACGACGCAACGCCGCGUGGAGGAUGAAGACCUUCGGGUCGUAAACUCCUUUCGACCGAGAUGAAUACCCACCGACCUAAUACGUUGGUGGGCUGACAGUAUCGAGGGAAGAAGCCCCGGCUAACUCCGUGCCAGCAGCCGCGGUAAUACGGGGGGGGCAAGCGUUGUUCGGAAUUACUGGGCGUAAAGGGUUCUUAGGUGGCCUGCUAAGUCACACGUGAAAUCCCUCAGCUUAACUGGGGAACUGCGUGUGAGACUGGCGGGCUUGAGUGCAGGAGAGGAACGCGGAAUUCCAGGUGUAGCGGUGAAAUGCGUAGAUAUCUGGAGGAACACCGGUGGCGAAGGCGGCGUUCUGGACUGCUACUGACACUGAGGAACGAAAGCCAGGGGAGCAAACGGG